GACGAACGCUGGCGGCGUGCCUAAUACAUGCAAGUAGAACGCUGAAGGAGGAGCUUGCUUCUCUGGAUGAGUUGCGAACGGGUGAGUAACGCGUAGGUAACCUGCCUGGUAGCGGGGGAUAACUAUUGGAAACGAUAGCUAAUACCGCAUAAUAUUGACUAUUGCAUGAUAGUCAGAUGAAAGGUGCAACUGCACCACUACCAGAUGGACCUGCGUUGUAUUAGCUAGUUGGUGGGGUAACGGCUCACCAAGGCGACGAUACAUAGCCGACCUGAGGAGGGGUUGAGCCACGCAGGGCAGGUGAAACGGCCCAGUCUCCUACGGGGAGCAUCAUGAGGGAAUCUUCGGGAAUGGCCGGAAGACUGACCGAGGAACGCCGCUUGAGAGCAGAAGGAUUUCGGAUCGUCAAGGUCCGUUGUGAGAGAGGAGCGGGUGUGAGAGUGGAAAGCUCACACUGUGACGGUAUCUUAACAGAAAGGGACGGCUAACUACGUG
rnacentral:rRNA from 1 species